AUUGAACGCUGGCGGCAGGCCUAACACAUGCAAGUCGAACGAGUGGCGGCCGGGUGAGUAAUGUCUGGGAAACUGCCCGAUGGAGGGGGAUAACUACUGGAAACGGUAGCUAAUACCGCAUACCAUCGGAUGUGCCCAGAUGGGAUUAGCUAGUAGGUGGGGUAAUGGGUCACCUAGGCGACGAUCCCUAGCUGGUCUGAGCGGAUGACCAGCAAAACUGGAACGGAGACACGGUCCAGACGCCUACGGGAGGCGGCAGUGGGGAAGAAUGCACAAUGGGCGCAAGCCUGAUGCAGCCAUGCCGAGGGUAUGAAGAAGGCGUGCGGGUUGUAAAGUAGGUUCAGCGAGGAGGCGUGACUCGCAGAAGAAGCACCGGCGAACUCCGUGCCAGCAGCCGCGGUAAUAC
rnacentral:rRNA from 1 species